CUUCCUUCAAUGUUUGGAUCUGUGAAUCUUCCCCUGUGUUAAGGUCCAAAUAAAAGCAUUAAAAUGUUUCCAGACAGUGUGUGUGUGUGUGUGUGUGUGUGUGUG